AGCGCGCGUUGUUUGGAGAUCUGACACUACCGUCGCUCCGUGCUCACUUAGCUCCCUCGAGACUCAGAGACGGGAAGAAAUGGAAAUCGUUCGAUCUCAGAAAAAAGCUCUCCACAACGACGCCGUUUCGACCUUCCCUCUCUACCGCUCCGCUCCACCGCUCGAAGUCAGGCUCGAGGAUUUCGAGCUCUUCGCCAUCGAUCGCCUUCGCGUCCUGAAAGGGAUUUCUGAUGGUUUAUCCCGUGGAAAGAAACCGGAAGAAAUGGAAAAAUUGGUAAGAGAUAUGUUGAAAGCAAAUAUGGGGCAUCCAGAGGCAUCUGAGGUUGUCAACAAGGAUAUAAUAUCCCACUUUGUUCUACGUCUCGUGUAUUGCAGAACGGAGGACUUGAGAAAAUGGUUUCUUUCCAUGGAGACUGCCCUAUUUCGUUACCGUUUCCUCCAGCUUAAAAGUGCUGAGGCUCAGAGAGCACUCAUGGCAGAAUUUGACCUUCCUUACAAAGCAGUUAGCAAUUCCGAAUUCCAGAGUAUGAAGGACAAUUUGGGCCAAGCUGCACGUUCCAUUGGUCAGCCUUUACCAACUGCUGAUGCGAUAUUCUAUAUGGUACCAUUUGAAGAAGUUCCCGAACUUGUGGCUGGUCGUAGAGUAUUUGUCCAUAAAGGGCAUGCAUACGUUGCCAUGAAUCAGGUGGUUUCCCUUGUUGCCACACAAUUCCGUAGUCAUCUAUCAAAGGCACUCAUUCUGACGAACAGAAAGUGGACAUCUUCCAUCAGAGAACAAGAGAAGGAUCGGUUGACUCCUAUUGUAGAAGCCCUAUGCACAAGCUACUUGGGUCCUGACUAUUCUGAGCCAAGAGAAUUUGCUGAGAUAUCAAUUCGAGACAUUGACCAAAUAGCUAUGAGUUCGUUUCCUCUAUGUAUGCGCCACCUAUUUGACAAGCUGAAAGAGGAUCAUCAUUUAAAGCAUGGAGGGAGGAUGCAGUUAGGCCUCUUUCUCAAGGGUGUCGGGUUGAAGCUGGAUGAUGCCCUUGCAUUUUGGAAAGCUGAGUUCUCCCAAAAGGUUGGUGCUGAAAGGUUUGACAAAGAAUAUGCAUACAGCAUUCGACAUAAUUAUGGAAGGGAAGGGAAGAGAACGGAUUAUACACCUUAUUCUUGUCAAAAGAUCAUCUGUUCGGCUCCUGGUGUAGGAGAUCAUCAUGGGUGCCCCUAUCGGCAUUUCAGUGAAGAGAAUCUAAGGGCUGCCCUUGGUAAAAUGAGAGUAAAUAGCAAGGCAAUUGAAGAUGUAAUGGACAAAGUUCGAAGUAGACAUUAUCAGUUGGCAUGCACCUUGACAUUUGAAGCUAUACACGGGACAUCAUGUGAUGCUGGGAUUAACCAUCCAAAUCAAUACUUCAGUGAGAGCCAAAAGGUCGUGCAAUCGAAGAACCACUCUACAGUGUAAAGAGAAUUUUGGGCACACUAGGGACUGACACAGAUGGGGGGUCCUCAGGUAAGCGUUUAGGAGCAUGCAAUCAUUAUAUCCACACGGAGUCCCUACAUUGGACUACGGCCAUGCAUAUUCGGUUUUAGCCUCUUUGCAGUGGCUGUGAUUGGUUCCAAGCGAGGGUUCAGAUAGGUUCGCUUUAAUCUGUGCCUCUUUUGCUCUAUAACCGCGGCCCCUUGAAAAGACUGAAUUACUUGUUUAACCCAUUUCCUACUUCUU